rnacentral:rRNA from 1 species
AUACGGAGGGUGCUAGCGUUACUCGGAUUCACUGGGCUUAAAGCGCAUGUAGGCGGUCCCAUAAGUUUUUUGUGAAAUCCCCCGGCUCAACCGGGGAACUACAAAGGAUACUGUGGGACUAGAGGUCGGUAGGGGAGAGUGGAACUCCUGGUGGAGCGGUGAAAUGCGUAGAUAUCAGGAGGAACACCGGUGGCGAAGGCGACUCUCUGGAACGAUCCUGACGCUGAGAUGCGAAAGCCAGGGGAGCGAACGGGAUUAGAAACCCCAGUAGUCC